CUAUGUUAGGUCCAUAUUUUCAUAGUUUAAGCUCAGAUUCUAAGUUCAUUAACCAGUCUAUGUUGGCAACUUACACUAAGCAAGCAUAGAUCCAACAUUAUGUAUAUAAGCUCAACAUCAAGACCAUGUCAUCAUCAGACUCCUUCAUUACUCAGUGUAGCAUAGCGAUCAAGCAGUCUCAAACUGUGAGAGGCAGACAAAUUGAUUCGAGUUCUUUAACCAUGCAUGGUGAACGUAACCUCACGACAUCCACGCACCACCGAGAGUUGCUUCCUGUGUUGGCCAUCCCCAUCAAUCCCC
rnacentral:lncRNA from 1 species